CGUCUAAUUUAAUUUGUCACUAUUAAUAAAAACACUGAUGUGAUAGAUACAUAACGUUGACGGGAUGACAUACGACCCUCAAAUUAUAGUUUAAAUCAGCCUUUAUUAAAAGACACAAUUUCAUAUGCAGUUUGAAAAAGUCACUUAAACCAUUUUAGAGCUCUUAUGACUAGAACACACGCCAAGUUUAUUUUACAAUUAAUUUUUAAUAGCCUCUAACAUAUUUAAGGAGCUGUUUUCUCAACAACACCAACACUAAUGCUAAACCACCCUACUCCGUGUAGUUAAUAGUCGCUACUACCCAGUUGGAGAAAACUGAAAUUGAUGCAACUGAAAUUGAUGCUGGAUGAUGCUUCAGUGCGAUAAUAUUAUCCACUGAUUCUGUGCUAAGUAACAAAUUUGAGGUGCAAAUUUCGCAAAAGCAGUCCUCAAAAAAAAAUUUUUUUUUUCUAGUAAAGGCUUG
rnacentral:misc_RNA from 1 species